rnacentral:rRNA from 1 species
GAUGAACGCUGGCGGCGUGCUUAACACAUGCAAGUCGAACGAUGAAGCCCAGCUUGCUGGGUGGAUUAGUGGCGAACGGGUGAGUAACACGUGAGUAACCUGCCCUCAACUCUGGGAUAAGCCUGGGAAACUGGGUCUAAUACCGGAUAGGAGCGUCCACCGCAUGGUGGGUGUUGGAAAGAUUUAUCGGUUUUGGAUGGACUCGCGGCCUAUCAGCUUGUUGGUGAGGUAAUGGCUCACCAAGGCGACGACGGGUAGCCGGCCUGAGAGGGUGACCGGCCACACUGGGACUGAGACACGGCCCAGACUCCUACGGGAGGCAGCAGUGGGGAAUAUUGCACAAUGGGCGAAAGCCUGAUGCAGCGACGCCGCGUGAGGGAUGACGGCCUUCGGGUUGUAAACCUCUUUCAGUAGGGAAGAAGCGAAAGUGACGGUACCUGCAGAAGAAGCACCGGCUAACUACGUG